ensembl:lncRNA
GGUGACCGGAGAAGCUCACCGACACUGGCCGCUCGCCCGAGGCAGGGCCCGGGGAGGGAGGGAACUGAGCCGAUCUGUUGAAUGCAGCGAGGAGCUCGGGAAAAUGCCAAAAGAAGUGCCAAAAGAAAAAGCUCAUUUCCUUCCCUCCCUUUGCUCCCUGUAAGCCGGGCUUUAUCCGUACCAGGGCAGCGGGUGGGGGGUACGGGGGGACACGCUGGGCAUGACUCUGGCUGGGGGGAGAGUCGGGGCAAGACCCUCCUGCCUGUGACCUGCCGCCUCUGUGCCGAGAGCCACGGUCCGAAGGGAUGUGCCGAGAUCCUGGCUGCUUUUGGCUAGCCUAGCCGAGCCGGGGGGAUGCAGCACUGGGGGCUGCGGUGAGGGUGGGCUAUUUUUGUCAGGGUGGUGGGUGCCCUCGGGUAGCAGCAGGGUCCAGCUGCCCCAGGCUGGGGGGGCACAGGCAAACCCAUUUUGGGGAGGGCAGCAGGUGCUGGGCUGGUGGUGCUGAGCUGCAACCCGGGCUGUCAGGGCAGCGGAGCGGGAGCUUCAAGGGGAUUUUACAGCGGGACCCGAAGCUCGGGUGCAGCCUUGGCCCGGCCCCGCAUCCCAGAGGCCAGCAUCGCCCUGCGGAGGAGCCUGCCGGCUCCCCGAAAAAGAGUGUCACGUGCUUCAACUUUGGCAUCAGGCAGGAGGAGGAUGGAUUUGUCAGCUCAGCCACCCCCUUCCAGCUCUUCCCAGAAAGGCAACGGCUUGAAGAUGUGGCAGCCUCUCCCGGCUGGAGCUCUGUGCACGUUGGCUGCUGGCAGAGACCCUGCGCCGCCUCCCGCAAGGUGAGCUGCUGUGAUCUCCGCUUGCUCCGCAGCCAGAUCCUGCUCGCCUUCCCCUUGCUGCGCUAUCUGAUCCUUCAAAGUGAAGGAUUAGCCCUGGCCCGCUUAGCAGUGGGGAGGGAGGGGGAAGGAAAGAGCUUGCCUGCAGUUAAGGAGAUAUAUAUAUAUAUAUAUAGUGUGAUAAAUAUUCCCUGGGUCUGAUCCGUGCCCAGUGGGAGCAUUUUACUUUGGACUUCAGCAUCUUUCAGGGGCUGCUCUGGGGCAGCGAGGAGGGUGGUGAUACCUGGCUUUUCUCCCUGUGGGGCUCUGAGCCAGGUGCUGGCCGGAUCCGGUUGCAGAGAGGUCGAGUCGGCAGCCUGGCUAUGGGCUUGGGUUUAUGCAAACCUUGCGAUAUCAGUUCGUGCAUCAGUUGAGGGAUUGCUGGGGGGGUGGGCUGUGUCUUGGGGUGCGUCGGGUGGGUUUUGAUGGUAAAAUCUGGUGUCUCUGCUCGCUGCUGCCUGCUGAGCUGUGGCUUUGCUUUUUCUCCAAGCAAAUGCUGGGGUACUUGACCUGAAUACUUAAGGUUUUGCCUGUCAAGAGAGAACUUAACCUGGCAUCCCCUCCCUCCGUGUCUAAAUUCUGCUGUACUUCACGGCGCUUUUGCAAUUAAAAAAACCAGGAGCCAAAGUGAAGUUCCCUGUAAUCGCUUGCAAGUGGGGAAGAGCGAGCGUGUGCUAAUUGGGAUAUUGUGCUGCGUGCCGGCUGGCCCCGCUUGCCGAAGGAAUAGCAGGUGGGGAAAGAAACGGCCUUGAUUUUCAAAAAGAUGCCAGUGAGCUCACGGCAGCCAGCGUGGCGGAAGCCGGCACAGCCCUCCCAGUGCUGGGGCUGGGCUGGGGAGGUCUCCUUGGUGGUGGGCUGACAGGCGGUCGGCUUCUUGGCAGCUGGGGAAGGGGUUGUGCAGGUGAGUGCUGGGCACGUGCUCUUGGCUGCGUCUCCUGGACCGUGUCACCGGCUCAGCCUUUGCCUGGUUUAACAAGCCCCAAUGCAACUGGGUGGACUCAGCACAAAACCAGCGAGUGCCCUGGCUCUGAACUGGGAGCCAACAGGUCCUGCAAGCUGAAGGAGCCCAGUCCUGCUGCAGGCAGAGCUCUGUGGUCCAUGGGAGCGGGAUCUGCUCAGAGAGGGGUGGGAUGCUCAGGCCGCCCUGCGAUAAGCCCUGGCUGGGAUCUGAAUAACUCACCUCUCGGCUUUGCCCGCUGCUGGCGGUGAUAAAGCCGCGGUGAUUAGUGCUUAGCCGGCACUUGGCUUGAUGGGACAUGAGACGUGAACUCGCCUGCCUGCAGCGGCAUGGGCUCCACGGAGCUAAUGGCAGUAAAAUGACUUGGUUUUGACUGGGAGUCCUGCAGGGAGCGGAGUGAGGGAGAGAAAUGGGCUGUUUCUUUCCUUAUUUAUUUAUUUCCCCCCUUGAAGGAGAUUUUUUCAUUGCUGCAAAAUUCCUGCGUCGAGGGGCAGGUCUCCAGCAAAGAGCCCCCCUGUGCUCUGCAGCCGCGAUGGGCCAGGUCUUCUCUGCCCCCAGUGCUGGGGGUCAGGCUGGGCGACCGCACUCUCAGGAUCGCUCGGUGAAAUUUGGGGCUCCCUCUGGGCUGUCUGUUCCUGGGGCUGCGGCAGCACCAAGCUGGGGAAGGGAAAUUUUGCAAACAAAACCCAUGCCGUGCAUGCGAGGGGGC